rnacentral:rRNA from 1 species
UCAGGGGUGAAAGUCGGUUGCUCAACGAUCGAAUUGCCUUUGAAACUGUCAGGCUCGAGUAUGGAUGCGGUAGGCGGAAUGUGUAGUGUANCGGUGAAAUGCAUAGAUAUUACACAGAACACCGAUUGCGAAGGCAGCUUACCAAACCAGCACUGACGCUGAAGCACGAAAGCGUGGGGAGCGAACAGGAUUAGAUACCCAGGUAGUCCACGCCGUAAACUUUGCUCACUCGCUGUUGGCGAUAGACAGUCAGCGGCCAAGGGAAACCGAUAAGUGAGCCACCUGGGGAGUACGGCCGCAAGGUUGAAACUCAAAGGAAUUGACGGGGGCCCGCACAAGCGGUGGAACAUGUGGUUUAAUUCGAUGAUACGCGAGGAACCUUACCUGGGCUUAAAUGUGAAGUGCAUUGAUUGGAAACAAUCAUUUCCUUCGGGACCCUUUACAAGGUGCUGCAUGGUUGUCGUCAGCUCGUGCCGUGAGGUGUCGGGUUAAGUCCCAUAACGAGCGCAACCCCUAUUGUUAGUUACCAGCGCGUGAUGGCGGGGACUCUAGCGAAACUGCCGGUGUAAACCGCGAGGAAGGUGGGGAUGACGUCAAAUCAGCACGGCCCUUAUGUCCAGGGCUACACACGUGUUACAAUGGCCGGUACAGCGGGCAGCUAGGCAGCGAUGUCAUGCUAAUCCCGAAAGCCGGUCCCAGUUCGGAUUGGAGUCUGCAACCCGACUCCAUGAAGGUGGAAUCGCUAGUAAUCGCGCAUCAGCCAUGGCGCGGUGAUACGUUCCCGGGCAUUGUACACACCGCCCGUCAAGCCAUGGAAGUCUGGGGUGCCUGAAGGCCGUAACCGCAAGGAGCGGUCUAGGGUAAACAGAUGACUGGG